rnacentral:rRNA from 1 species
ACUCCUACGGGAGGCAGCAGUGAGGAAUAUUGGUCAAUGGGCGCAAGCCUGAACCAGCCAUCCCGCGUGCAGGAAGACGGCCCUAUGGGUUGUAAACUGCUUUUCCAGGGAGAGAAACCUGCGCACGUGUUGCGCAAUUGACGGUACCCUGGGAAUAAGCAUCGGCUAACUCCGUGCCAGCAGCCGCGGUAAUACGGAGGAUGCAAGCGUUAUCCGGAUUCAUUGGGUUUAAAGGGUGCGUAGGCGGACUAUUAAGUCAGUGGUGAAAGCCUGCAGCUUAACUGCAGAACUGCCAUUGAUACUGAUAGUCUUGAGUUUGGUUAAGGUAGGCGGAAUGUGUAAUGUAGCGGUGAAAUGCUUAGAUAUUACACAGAACACCAAUUGCGUAGGCAGCUUACUGAGCCGACACUGACGCUGAAGCACGAAAGCGUGGGGAUCGAACAGGAUUAGAUACCCUGGUAGUC